rnacentral:rRNA from 1 species
GUCGAGCGAACGGACGAGAAGCUUGCUUCUCUGAUGUUAGCGGCGGACGGGUGAGUAACACGUGGAUAACCUACCUAUAAGACUGGGAUAACUUCGGGAAACCGGAGCUAAUACCGGAUAAUAUUUUGAACCGCAUGGUUCAAAAGUGAAAGACGGUCUUGCUGUCACUUAUAGAUGGAUCCGCGCUGCAUUAGCUAGUUGGUAAGGUAACGGCUUACCAAGGCAACGAUGCAUAGCCGACCUGAGAGGGUGAUCGGCCACACUGGAACUGAGACACGGUCCAGACUCCUACGGGAGGCAGCAGUAGGGAAUCUUCCGCAAUGGGCGAAAGCCUGACGGAGCAACGCCGCGUGAGUGAUGAAGGUCUUCGGAUCGUAAAACUCUGUUAUUAGGGAAGAACAUAUGUGUAAGUAACUGUGCACAUCUUGACGGUACCUAAUCAGAAAGCCACGGCUAACUACGUGCCAGCAGCCGCGGUAAUACGUAGGUGGCAAGCGUUAUCCGGAAUUAUUGGGCGUAAAGCGCGCGUAGGCGGUUUUUUAAGUCUGAUGUGAAAGCCCACGGCUCAACCGUGGAGGGUCAUUGGAAACUGGAAAACUUGAGUGCAGAAGAGGAAAGUGGAAUUCCAUGUGUAGCGGUGAAAUGCGUAGAUAUAUGGAGGAACACCGGUGGCGAAAGCGGCUCUCUGGUCUGUAAC